GGAGGUGAGACAGGCAUGGCUGCCACCACAGAAUUUCCAAUAGAAAUGGAGAACCCUGAAGACUGAAACACGGGAGUACAGAGUGGGGACAAGAGGGGAUUAUAAACUGUUUGAAGUUCAUCAGCACGGUGAAGUUUUAUUGUAUUUCCGGUCCCCAAGAUUUACACCCUAGAGGGGACACCGGCAGCCAGGCAGACUCCUUCCUUACCUCCAAUUUCCACGCCGCCGGACACGUGGCCAAGCGGACACUCACUUUCGGGCGCACGGAGGGAGGGAGCCGGGCCCGACGGACUCUCCCUCAACUGGCUCAGCUCUACUUGGCUCCACUCUCCUAUCUACUCUCCCACCUCA